rnacentral:rRNA from 2 species
GGUAUCAGAAGUGCGAAUGCUGACAUAAGUAACGAUAAAGCGGGUGAAAAGCCCGCUCGCCGGAAGACCAAGGGUUCCUGUCCAACGUUAAUCGGGGCAGGGUGAGUCGACCCCUAAGGCGAGGCCGAAAGGCGUAGUCGAUGGGAAACGGGUUAAUAUUCCCGUACUUGGUGUUACUGCGAAGGGGGGACGGAGAAGGCUAUGUUGGCCGGGCGACGGUUGUCCCGGUUUAAGCGUGUAGGUGUGUGUUCCAGGUAAAUCCGGUUCACUUUAACACUGAGGCGUGAUGACGAGGCACUACGGUGCUGAAGCAACAAAUGCCCUGCUUCCAGGAAAAGCCUCUAAGCAUCAGGUAACAUCAAAUCGUACCCCAAACCGACACAGGUGGUCAGGUAGAGAAUACCAAGGCGCUUGAGAGAACUCGGGUGAAGGAACUAGGCAAAAUGGUGCCGUAACUUCGGGAGAAGGCACGCUGACACGUAGGUGAAGUGAUUUACUCAUGGAGCUGAAGUCAGUCGAAGAUACCAGCUGGCUGCAACUGUUUAUUAAAAACACAGCACUGUGCAAACACGAAAGUGGACGUAUACGGUGUGACGCCUGCCCGGUGCCGGAAGGUUAAUUGAUGGGGUCAGCGCAAGCGAAGCUCCUGAUCGAAGCCCCGGUAAACGGCGGCCGUAACUAUAACGGUCCUAAGGUAGCGAAAUUCCUUGUCGGGUAAGUUCCGACCUGCACGAAUGGCGUAAUGAUGGCCAGGCUGUCUCCACCCGAGACUCAGUGAAAUUGAACUCGCUGUGAAGAUGCAGUGUACCCGCGGCAAGACGGAAAGACCCCGUGAACCUUUACUAUAGCUUGACACUGAACAUUGAGCCUUGAUGUGUAGGAUAGGUGGGAGGCUUUGAAGUGUGGACGCCAGUCUGCAUGGAGCCGACCUUGAAAUACCACCCUUUAAUGUUUGAUGUUCUAACGUGGACCCGUAAUCCGGGUUGCGGACAGUGUCUGGUGGGUAGUUUGACUGGGGCGGUCUCCUCCUAAAGAGUAACGGAGGAGCACGAAGGUUGGCUAAUCCUGGUCGGACAUCAGGAGGUUAGUGCAAUGGCAUAAGCCAGCUUGACUGCGAGCGUGACGGCGCGAGCAGGUGCGAAAGCAGGUCAUAGUGAUCCGGUGGUUCUGAAUGGAAGGGCCAUCGCUCAACGGAUAAAAGGUACUCCGGGGAUAACAGGCUGAUACCGCCCAAGAGUUCAUAUCGACGGCGGUGUUUGGCACCUCGAUGUCGGCUCAUCACAUCCUGGGGCUGAAGUAGGUCCCAAGGGUAUGGCUGUUCGCCAUUUAAAGUGGUACGCGAGCUGGGUUUAGAACGUCGUGAGACAGUUCGGUCCCUAUCUGCCGUGGGCGCUGGAGAACUGAGGGGGGCUGCUCCUAGUACGAGAGGACCGGAGUGGACGCAUCACUGGUGUUCGGGUUGUCAUGCCAAUGGCACUGCCCGGUAGCUAAAUGCGGAAGAGAUAAGUGCUGAAAGCAUCUAAGCACGAAACUUGCCCCGAGAUGAGUUCU